rnacentral:rRNA from 1 species
GUGAGCCAGUACAGGAUGGACCCGCGUCUGAUUAGCUAGUUGGUAAGGUAACGGCUUACCAAGGCGACGAUCAGUAGCCGACCUGAGAGGGUGAUCGGCCACAUUGGAACUGAGACACGGUCCAAACUCCUACGGGAGGCAGCAGUGGGGAAUAUUGCACAAUGGGCGAAAGCCUGAUGCAGCAACGCCGCGUGAGUGAUGAAGGCCGUCGGGUCGUAAAACUCUGUCCUCAAGGAAGAUAAUGACGGUACUUGAGGAGGAAGCCCCGGCUAACUACGUGCCAGCAGCCGCGGUAAUACGUAGGGGGCUAGCGUUAUCCGGAUUUACUGGGCGUA